rnacentral:lncRNA from 1 species
ACAUCUCACUUUUUUUCUUUUUUUAUGUUUUCCUAAAGUACCCUCUUCUCUUUUUAAUAUUUUCCUACACAACACCCCUCAUUAAAUGAGGGUUGUGUGGUCAGUUAAUACCUUGACGCACUACACACACCAACGUUUUCCCAAUAUAUAAGAGGACCUCUCGUCUUUCAUCAUCACAACAUAGCCGCUGCAUCUAAACCUACUCGGUCUCACCACCCUCCGUUUUUCAAACUCUCCAUCCUUUUCACUCAUUAAUAAACCAUGAUAGGUCCCUUUGGUCCACCAUGAACAUCAAGCAGAAGAAUUGAACUAUCUCGCAGCUGGCCAUAACCAUGAACAAGCCUAGAGCCUUCAUGCAUGGCAAAAUACUAGUUAACAGUUACAUACACAAGAAGUGUAUAUUAGACCACUGUAAAUCAGCUUACUAAACAUAUAUAUCUCUGGCAAUCAUUCACAUGGAAAUCUAAUAAUCACUUCCUUGAAUGUAACUGUUAAUGCUUGUGAUGAUGCCAGAAACAAAAGAGAUGCUGACAAGCAGUCAACAGCACGUAAUGUCGAUUCUAGGUAUCUAUGCUUUAUUAUAUAUUUUUAAUUUUUUCUUCUUUUGGUUUUACUGUGAAUUAUUGAAAUGAAAAAAUAUAUAUAUAAAGUAGAUGGUGCUACGUCAGGAUUACCUUUGAGAUACCUAGAAACUCUCUCCAAAGGACACCUCCGUCAAGUAGUAGUGAUGGAUUCAGCACAAGAGUCAGUGAGGAUAAUUUAUUUUUAUAAAAUAAUUAUUAUUAUUAUUAUCAUACAUAUGAAAAGGAAACGUGAAACAUAAUCAAUUGUACAAUAAAAUAAUUGCCGCUAAAAUCUUUAAUGGUAUUUCAUAUUGCCGCUAAAAGAAAAAACAAUUGCCACCGUAUGUCAUUGGAGUAGUGUGUUUGAUAAAAUUUAAAAGACCCAAAGAACAAAAUUUGACAAAAGGUUGAAAAAAAUGAGGGACAAAAGGAUAAAAACACUGGAAAUGAACUUGUAUUUUUUUUCCUGAAAUCAAUUAUAUGACCCAUUAGCAUGCUAUUAGUAACAAACCAUGGUAAAUAUAACAUACAAUUGGGAAUUAGCUACUAAACAUACAACUAAUCCCUAUGAUCGCUUAAAUAUUUUUAACAAAACUGUAAUAUACCAGGAGCCAUGGCAUGGACAAGCAUCAAGGGACCAAAAAAUAGGCUAAGUACAAAGAAAGUGAGAGAGUUUCUCAUUUCUAUAACCAAAUUAACGAAACCAAGAUUUUAUCUUGUUGGUAUUCUACCUUCUUUUAAUUACCACAUAAUUGAAUCUCUGUUGUCAUUUUGGCAAUGUUAGGUCUCUCUUUCUCACUCUCUGCAGUCUAGAAGGUUUUCACUCUCUUAAAAAAUGGAAAAACCAAAUUGCAAGCUUUGCAAAGUUUCUAUUCUUGUUGGCUUCUCUGUUUUUUUAGUGGAGAAGGAAGUGGCAAGCUAGUAGUACCCUGUUCGCAAGGGCUGACUGGCCUUUUAUCAAAUUUGAAAGCAAAACUAACUCGUAAUGUAGCAAAUGUUUGUAGCCCCUAUUAAAGAUAAAACAAGUAAUCAGUAAUCACUACUCAUAAUGCUAAGUGAUUGGUUCAUAGCACUCUGUUGUUGCAAAAAGCUUCCUCUUAAUUCUACUAUUUGAUUAACAGAAAGAAUCAGAAAAAAAAUUACAAUUAAACUAAAUUAAACAUGACUUAUAAACAGAAGAGAUAUGGCUAAUUUCUUAACAUAACCUCUUAAAUAAUUUCUAGAUCCAUGUAAUAAAAUUGUAGAAUUAAUUUUAAAAUGCUUAUAAGUUUUCCAAAAAUCUAGUGUUUGGGACCCAGCUGGGAACCAAUUUUUCCCCUCCAGUCUAUGAAAGCGAAGCUAAACAAACCGGCCGUAUCAUGGAGUAAUAUAUGUCAAAAUAAAGAAAGAGUUAACAAAAUUAAAUUGAAUGAUGUCAGAAAGAUGUCAUUUGAAUUAUAUAUCUAUUGUAAAAAAAUGGUCCCUCCUGGUUAAAUUAAUACACAAGAGAGACUGAUGGAGAUUGUCUUGUAGAUCUUGAAAAAGCAACUCAAGGCAGAAUUGGAUUGCAUCAGAGACAACAAUUAUGAAAUAAUAAUACUAGACUUGCAUUACACCACAUCUAGUACUAUUUGCUCCUUUUCUUUCUUCAAAUGAUUUCCAAUUCCCAACUAUAACCUUGACUUCUUCAAUUGGGGGCUGGGGGCCAACGUAACUAAUAAUGUGAGAAUAUAUCUUUCAAAAGCAGAACAGUCUAUAUUAAUUAGCGUGGACACAAAAUAAAAUGUAAUCAAUAUAUAUAUUCUCCUUAGCUAGGGUAAGUAUGGGGGGGGGGGGGGGGGGGGACCAUGCAAAUGAGGAAAGACAUGUUGAAAAUAAUAUCUUCAAGGAAGCCGUGUUCAGUGGUCUAGUUUAUUUUUAACUUCUAAGAUAGUGAAAAUUAAAAUGUACUACUAGUAAGAGAUAUGUCAUAAAGCAUCUUAGUAUAUAUAGUAAGGCACCUCGAGGAACUUGCUGGUUCUUGAAUCAGUAUUAUCUUAAUUAACAUGACGUGGAUGAGUGAAAUGGUAAGUGAGUGGUGAUAAAGUGGCUACAAACAAGGUAAUUUUGGGAAAAAGAAUAAAGUGUCUGCCUAAUGCAUGGAAAUAUCACUUCAUAUACAUAUGUCUAAAGGUAGUAGCGGAAUUUAAGUAUCGAUCGUUUGAAAAGAUAAUGAGGAUCAGAUAAUACAAAUUUAUAUAAUUGAAAUUUUACACAUAUAGUUAAUCAUGUGUGAUCAAUAUUGAUCACAAUAAUAAUUUUAUACAAUCAUAUUUAUUUAUCAUUGAUCAUUUAUAAAAUAAAAUUAACUUCUUUUUUUACAGAAUCAUAAGAUGGACAUAAUUGGGUUUACAUUGAUCAGUGUAACGAACUUUUUCCCAUUCUUCUCACACACUCCCCGGCCACUAAUUACUCGCAUGCACUGCAAUUUCACACACAAAUAACUAAACAAAACUCACACAUUCUGUCUUUCAUUACAUGCACAUGCCAUACCAAUCAAAUAUUUCUCUCUGUCACCGCAACUACCGUGACCUCACCUAACACUCACCAACAAUUCUCUCUAACCUCUAUCACACACACAAUACCUGUCUCUCUCUACUCUGGCCAUAGCCUGCACACUUCAUCCCUUCUCUUUUUAAAAACUCAUUCAUCACGUCAUAACUCAAGUUGUUCAACCGAAGUGGGCAAGAUGAUAAGGGUACCCAAUAUCACAAAGAGUUUCUUCCCACCAAUUGUCAAGCCAAAGUGCAAGAAACUAAGAAUAUCCACAUUGGGGAAUAAGUUACUCGGGUUAUCACCUUCCAGAAUCAAGGAACCUAUUAAAACCAAGUAGAGCUAGUUCCGUGUAUAUUAACCUGAUAUUAUUAGCCUUCCUGUCUUUCCAAAUGCAAGCUCAUCUACAUCAGAACCUAUCUUGAUAUAACUGUUAGCUUCUGAAAAUCACAUCUAAAUCGUGGAACCAAACAUGCUAAUACUAGCUUCUAUCCAAACGUGGAUUUUCACGUCAAAUGACCUUGGCAUCGUGUGUCCAAACACGUGAACAUGCUGACUAUCUCACGCCAAAAUUUCUUCCUUUCAUAUACAUGCACCCAAAAAAAUUGGGUGUAAUUUUUACAUUUUCCUUACAAAUGAUGCACUAUUUCCAUGAGAGAGGUGUAGGUCCCGGUUAUUCCCAUUGCUAUAGGUGCUAUUAUUAUUAUCACCAUGGCUACUAUCUCACACCCAAAUUUUCUCUAAGUGCCUGAAAUCUUCAAGUAACGAAGGCAUAGAAACAUAAUAGAAGCUGUAACACUUAGAAACGCUCAAGAAAGGGACAUGAGAUACCCAAAGAAAGGAACAACAAGGGCAACAGUAGUAGUUCUGAUUACUAAGACAGUACUAAUCAGGAUUCUGGUCGCUCUAUUCCUGUAAGUCCUUGGAAGCAAGUCUUUCAAAGCAUUGGUAAUAGGUGUUACCAUCAAAGCAAACUUGGAUAUGGGAUUGACCAAGGUAGUACAUAUUGCUAUUUUCGGGCUUACUUUAUUUAUUUUCAGGUUUAAUGUGACCUGUGAUUCAACCUUGGGACCAAACAUUAGGCAACAAAUUAUAGCCAUGGAUGCAUAACCAGCAGUGCUUAAGAGAAAGCUAACAAGUAGUACCUGCAAUGUUAACGAAAAUAAAAUUCUUUAGAGAUCAGAGAAAGUAAGAAAGUAAAGCUACGUUUACACUACAUAAAUAGAAUUGAAUUUGCCACUUUAAUUCAAAUCAUUUCAGAGGAGCUAAAUUCUAGAGAGAUUAAGAGUGUGUUUGGAUACAAUUUACGUUGAGCGUAUCAACUUAACUGUCUUUCCAUCACGAUAAAGCAAAUACCUGUUUCUCAGUUUGGUGCAUUAGAACGUGUGUCUUUUCGUUUGACAAACUUAUAACUACAAUCCAAACACACACUAAAAGCAAAACACAUCCAGAAUAUAUAAAACAGUAAAGCACUUACAUUAGAGAACUGGUGUUUGUUUCUCAUGGAAUUGUACAAACUGGGGAACACAGGAUGUGCACAAUAGCAAAAGGCAUAUAAGCUAACAGCUGUGGGGUUUCCCUUCCAAUUAACAAGAGUUCCCUUUUGAUGAAACCCAACUCCAUCAAAUGUUGCAGUCCAUGAUAUUGACAGAAUAAUGAUAGCAGAAGCAAAUACCCUACUUGCAGAUACGUAAGAAAGUAUCCUCAAGUUGUCCAAGACAAGGGCAACCAAUAUCACAAACAGUUUCUUCCCACCAAUUGCUAAGUCAGCUGUAUGAAUCUCCACAGUGGGAAAUAAGUUACUCAAGUUAUCACCUUCGAGAAUCAAGAACCCUACCGAAACCAAGAAGAGCUCCGUGUAUAUUAACCCUGAUAUUAUUAGCCUUCCCGUCUUUCCAAACGCAAGUUCGCCCAUAUCAGGGUAGGUUCUGAUAUUCGAAUCCUUAUCCAUUCAUCUUUUAAUCAACACGCCUGUGUAAAAUGUCGCGGCAGCAAUAGCAAACAAAAGAGCCAAGCUUAACCAGCCCCCAGAUGCAAGAGUGUACGGAACUGAGAGUAUCCCAACACAUGAAAACCAAAUCCACACACACAAAACAUAAGCAUUUUUAUUUUUUUACAUAAAACAGCAUCAUUAAACAUAGAUUUCUCAUUGAUAAGUAAAGGAAGUGAAUGGGUAAUAGAUAAUGAAACCUGAUACUGCAUUGAUUCCGUUAAAGCAGGUGUGAAAGAAGGAUGCAGUAUUUUCGGUAGAAGGAUGAGACAAUGGCUCUCUCCUCAUCUAUGGAAUGCACCAUAUUAGUAUCGAGAGCUAACUGAUACUAGCCAGGGUUUUAACUAACUAUACAGAUAAAAAAAAAAAAAUACAAACUGCUUGAACAUCACGAUUCUGCCUCAAGGGCUACAAAUAACCUAGUUAAAGGUGAGCAUCCACUUGGCAACAUCUCAUCAUCUUGGGAAUAUGCAGGGAAUUGGACGGUGGAGGAUUAGGAGAGGGAAUUUUGUUGGAAAAGGAGAAUUGAAUGUGGGGUUGGUGAGAGUUAAAGAAUGGAAAUUAGCAAAGUUUAAUUUAAUUAUUGUACUACGUUUUUGUGUUUUUGGUACAGUACGUGGGAACUAAAACAAAGAGUCUUGCAUUCCAAAUCUUGAACCAGCGAGCUAAGAUUUCUGCCACAGCAU